UGCUGUUGAUGUGGACAAUCCUGAAGAAGAACUUUUAAUCUCUCCCAAGCAUGAUAUAAGUUCUUAUUUUCCCUUUGUUUGAAGCUCGCAAUCUCACUACGCAGUUU
rfam:Capsicum annuum cultivar Zunla-1 chromosome 5, whole genome shotgun sequence